AUGGCGGGCUACGAGGAGGAGAACCUGAACGCCAUGAACGGCUAUGAGGAGGACGAGGAGGUGGAGGAGGAGGUCGAAGAGGAGGUGGAGGAGGUGGAGGAGGAAGAGGAGGAGGAGGAGAGGCCCGCCGCCGAGGGAUCUCGAGAUGGAGGAGGUGGAGGGGAGGCCGUCGGUAGCGGAGAGGCUGGUGGCGUGCAAGGCGGUAGGGACGUGCCUGCCGAGCCCGCCGACGGGUCCGGGAAAAUUUUCGUUGGGGGUGUAGCCUGGGAGACAACCGAAGAAAAAUUCAGCAAGCAUUUUCAGAAAUAUGGAGCUAUAACUGAUUCUGUGAUCAUGAAAGACAAGCAUACCGGGAUGCCUCGUGGAUUUGGAUUUGUUACAUUUUCUGAUCCAUCUGUGAUUGAUAGGGUUCUGGAGGAUGAACAUACUAUAGAUGGAAGAACGGUUGAAGUCAAAAGAACUGUGCCUAGAGAGGAGAUGUCAACAAAAGAUGCUCCUAACAAGACAAGAAAGAUCUUUGUUGGUGGCAUUCCAGCAUCUCUAACUGAAGAUAAGUUAAAGGAGCACUUCUCCUCAUAUGGCAAGGUGGCUGAGCAUCAAAUCAUGGUUGACCAUAGCACUGGCCGUUCACGAGGCUUUGGCUUUGUUACCUUCGAAAGUGAGGACGCUGUUGAAAGGGUUAUGUCAGAUGGGAGAAUGCAUGAUCUUGGAGGGAAGCAGGUUGAAAUAAAAAGAGCCGAGCCAAAGAAACCUGGUGGUGGUGAUUCAAGCUCUAACAGUAGACAUAGCCAUGGAGGAGGUGGCCACCGUAGUUCAUACCGCGGUGGAGGUGGUGGUGGUGGUGGUGGUGGAGGCCGUUCUGCCAUCAGCAGCAGCAGUGGUUAUGGGUAUGGAGCUGACUACCGAUCAGCUGCAGCUGCCUACUAUGGUAGUGCAGGAUAUGGUGCCUACGGUAGAGGGUAUGGUGCAUAUGGAGGUAACCCUGCCUAUGGGUCAGGUUUUGGCUCUGCUUAUGGUGGUUCUAUAUAUGGAGGCCCGUAUGGUGCCUAUGGUGGCUAUGGGGGAGCUGGAAGCAUGGGUGGUGGUGGAAGUGCGAGUGGUCGAGGCUCGGGCAGGUACCACCCAUACGGGAAAUGA
rnacentral:rRNA from 1 species